AUCCUCCCCAGGGCAGAGAGAAGCUGAUAGAGCUCGCUGGCUCCUGCUCUGCUCCCUUUUUUUUUUUUUUUUUUUUUUUUUUUUUUUUCAGGACAAAUGAGAAGCAGCUGCCUCCAAGUGUGAGAUUUUGGGGUGUGCGUCAGAGUAAGGGAUGCUUGACAGCAAAUGUCUUGCCCUGGUUCCUGCCUGGGGAGCUGCAAUGUCAAGUGAAAUAACCUUCCAGGCUGCCUUUGGUGCGGAGGUCCUUUGGCUUAUGGUAUUGCUUUCUGUCUGGUGAGCUGUCUGCCUCCUGUAUGCCUGAUCUCAGGCUUUCUUCGCUCUUUCGCUCUCUUUUUUUUUUUUUUUUUCCUCCUUGGGCUGGGAUGUGCUCUGCCUUUAAUGCAUCGGGAAGCCAUAUGCAAUGAGGAAACUCAUCAUCUGUGCAUCAGGGCGAAUUACUGACUGAGUGCUGAGCAGUCACGGUAUUGAUUCAGACCGUAGCCCAGUCUCUCCGCCUGCCGCCCGGUGUGGCUGGCUGCAUCCUUCUGGUUUGCCGCAUUUAAUCGGCUUCCCGGAGCCACCAAGCAGAGGGGGGAGUUGGAACCAAACCCAUCUACAAUGUUUGCUUCAAAAUCCAGCUCUGUGUCCCCUUCUCCAUCCAUGGACCAGGCAGAUUCAGAUGCUCUGGACAUCAGCACCAAAGUGCAGCUGUAUGGAGUACUCUGGAAGAGACCCUUUGGGAGGCAGUCAGCCAAGUGGUCCAGGAGGUUCUUCAUCAUUAAGGAGAGUUUCCUGCUCUACUAUGCUGAGAGUGAGAAGAAGAACUUUGAAAGCAAUAAAUACUUCAAUAUCCACCCCAAGGGUGUCAUACCCCUGGGGGGCUGCAUCGUGGAACCCAAAGAAGAGCCCAACAUGCCUUAUGCCAUAAAGAUCUCUCAUGAAGACUUCCAUGGUAACAUUGUUCUAGCAGCCGAGUCAGAGUUUGAGCAGGCUCAGUGGCUGGAGAUGCUGCAGGAGUCUGGAAAAGUUACCUGGAAGAAUGCCCAGCUGGGAGAAGCCAUGAUCGAGAGCCUGGAAGCCCAGGGACUGCAGCUGGCCAAGGAGAAACAGGAGUAUUUAGAUAAGCUGAUGGAGGAAACAGAGGAGCUGUGUCUGCAGAGGGAGCAGAAAGAGGAACUGGAACGCCUGAACCAGGUUCUGGAAGCAGAGAAGCACAGGUUUGAAGAGGUGGUACGGGAGCUGCGGCUGGAGCAGGAGCAGAUCAGGCAGGAGCUAGAGCUCACAGCCCGCUCCCUUAAAGGAGUGGAGGAAGAAAAGAAAGAGUUGCGAAGCCUGACAGAGUCCUUACAGAAAACCCUAGAGGAGCUCUCCCUGGAAAAGCAGCAAAUGCUGGAGAUGAUGGAAGAAAACGAAAGCCAGUUCCCGCCUCCAACCAGCCCUAGCAAGGAGCAAAGCCCCAGCUGGGGACUGCACUGCAGCCUGCGACAGAUUGAGGAGAAGAUGCAACAGCUUCUGAAGGAGAAACUCCUGGCAGAGAAGAGGAUGAAGGAGAAUGAGGAGAGGUCCCGAGCCCUGGAGGAGGAGCGGGAGUUUUACUCUUCCCAGUCACAGGCACUGCAGAACUCGCUCUCAGAGCUGACCGCAGAGAAGCAGCAGGCAGAGAGAGACCUCAAGGCUGAGGUGAAGGUGCGCAUGGAUCUGGAGAAGAGACUGAGGGAAGCUGAGGAAGCAUUGCAGCGCUUGGAGCAAGGUUUAAAUUCUCUGGAUCGCAACAAGGAGAAAGAGGAGAAGAUGAAAGCAGAUGUCAGUCAUUUGAGAAAGUUCUUUGAAGAGUGCAUCCGCAACGCCGAGCUGGAGGCCAAGAUGCCUGUGAUCAUGAAGAACUCAGUGUACAUCCACAAGGCUGCCACUCGCCGCAUAAAGAGCUGCCGCCUUCACCGCCGGAGAACCAGCGCGUCGUGGAAUGACUUGAAGCAGUCCCAGUCCUUCAUCUACUCACACGCAGAAGCUGAAAACAUUGAAGAGCUGAAGGAGGCAGCCAAAAGACUGAGCCGGCACCAGCACUUCCGCGAGACUCUCUACCAAAUCAUGAGGUCACAAAAAGAUUCAGCUUCAGGGGACAAAAAGUGACUCUUACUGGGAGGGACUUCUGAUCUCAACUUGCCAUUCAGCUCUGCAAAAGCUAAGCCAUCAGGCACUAGGGUCAGAAGGGAGAUAUGUCCUUUGGUGAGGAAGGUGAGGGAAAGUUGUGUAUAGGCAAUUCCCUCAGUUAGUGGCUUUGCUUUAGUUUGGAUGCCCCCCGUAGCCUGGCAGACCUUCCCUGCUGAUCACUGCGGAUCACAUCUCUUUGCUUCAGCUGCUUACGUUAAGCCACAUUUUGCCAAGAUACCACGGCCGGUGUGAAAGUGACCACCGACCUUAGCUUAGGAAGUGCCUCUUCUUUUCUUUCCUGCCUAGUCUGCCUGCCUGACAUGAGUGCUUCUGUGAAACCCGCUGUUAGCCCGUGGUCCAGCUGGAGCAGCCACCUGAGUCGGGCAGAGCUUGCCCUGUUUUGCCUGAUCUCCGCUAGGAGCUGGCUCACUGAGCACCCCUGCUCAUCAGCACUUCCAUGGUUCAUGACGCAUUUCCUGAAGACUGCAGCAACCCCAGCCUCCCAGGCACAGACUGUUAUAUCAGCCACGGGGCAAUGUCCUGAUGCAGCAACAUUUCAAGCAAGCGGUAGCAGCGCAAGAUGAAGGGAUGCUGUGGAUUUGGCUCCAAGAAGAAUCACGUGCAAAGUAGAUCUUAUAGGAGUUGAGACAAAUCGCCGUGACACACAUUUACUGCCAGGGUACUUGCUGUGCUUCACUGCAUUGCUGUACAUGCUGAACAUCACCUCCAAAAGGACUGUAUGUAAAAUGCUUUCACCCUUGCCACCCGCUUCCACCUUAUUUACCAUGUUGAGCCUCUGCACUUUAAAAUGUGUAUAGCAUUAAAGCGAGGAUGUAUUAAACCAGCAUUAAAACAGAAAUCUGGUUGCUUACCUGGAGCCAGCGGGCUGGGUGCCCAUUAGCACCAAGCCAUGCCCUCAGCCCACUGUAGCAAUGUGCUUGCCACCUCGCUGCAGGUAGUGGCCAUGCAGAGGAGCCUACCAGCCCCGACCCUGUGAGCUCCUUGGCAGUCAUCCCAUCUGGGAACUUCUCCCUCUGGUGACUUUCCCAGCUCACCCCUUUGGAGAUGCAUUAAAAAAAUGGUUUAAUGCACAGACACCACCAAGCAUGAACCCUGCUGAUUCUCUUCUGUCAUCUUACCUACUUUUUUUUCACAGCACCCCCUGCUAAGGCCAAGGUAAGGGUUAAUUUUGUCUUCCACAUGAGCUGCAGGACAACUCCAGGCUGUUUCUCUCUCUGGCAUAGAAGCGGUUCCUGCUUCACAGGCAGGGGUUUGGCAGAUCCCCUGGCUCUCACUCCCCCAGGCCUUUGCUGUUGCACAGAAGUACAUGACAGAAAGGAAGGCAGCGCCGGCCCCGCUGCUGCCUGUGUUUGCUGCCUCUUAAGCAGAGACAGUGGACAAGAAAUGGAAACUGCCCUUGGGGUCAGAAGUCAGUAACAAAGGGUGAAUGCUGUGCUAUGCGUGACUGCGCAUGGCACACGGGACGAAGGCUGGUGGCAAUUUUCAGCUCCAGAGUGUGGCUCUUACCUCCAGAGGGGGGGCAGGCUUUCCACUCAGGACAUUAGCAUGGCGUUAACGCAGCUCUUUGGAGAUAAGAUGACAGUUUUUCACAAAAGCAGUCUGUUUCAACUGCUUUCUCAUGCAGUUGUUUCCUGUGGCUACUGGAGGGGCAGAAGAUGGCUGGAGCUGUGCCUGGGCUGUUGUCAGUCACAGGAGAGCAGCCGUGUGGGUCUGAGGAGGCCUGUCCCUCAUGGUGACAGUUCUAUGAGCAGCCACGGUGUCUUUCUGCCUGCCGGGAUAAUGUCUCUUCUAUAUUAAGUAACUCAUUUACUUCUUACUGUAGGCUUAACUCUAAAGCCGGAAUGAGGAAAGAUCCAACUGAGGAUUCAGCCAGGUCUGUGAGUCCUUUCUGCUCCUUUCGGCACCAGCACCAGUGUAGGAUGUGCUGCAGUGCUGGGAAUGACAUCUCCUUCAGCGUUGGCAGGUCUGGCACUUCAGAGGAAGAAAUAUGACAAAGGCCAUUUUGUGAGGGUAGCAAAGGCACCUUUUGCUAACUCAGAGGUGUUGCAAUAAAUAGCACGGCAGGAUCAUGUGUUCUUUUGCUGUAUUAUGAAAAGUGAAGGCUUUGCAUUGCUUAAAAUAAUAAGUAAACUCUGCUUA